rnacentral:lncRNA from 1 species
CCGCGACCGUCUCGCGUACGGGAAGGCGGCGGAGGCCUCCGGAGGGCAGCGCCCCGGGGCUCGGGAGCGGGAGGAGCGAGGGACGAUCCAGUGCUCGGCCGGGUUUGCCAUCUUGGCUGCCCGGCGUCAGUUUGGAGUUUGUGCUGCGCCCGCGAUCCGGAGUUGCUGGGGGGUGUGAGGGUCUCUACUUGACAGCCGGAGAAGAAAAACCGCCCGGAGGCAGGCAGCGAUCCAGCCCAGGUCCCUACCGCGCGGGACUAAAGGGAUGCGACCUGGAGGACGAGAGGACGCGCCAUGGCGAUCGGCCGGGAGCGUGGACCCAGGGGCGCGCCGAGGGUGCCCGGGCUGGCCUGGACCCGAGCGGCCAGCGAGAGUCUGAAGAAAACUCGACUUUCUGACUAGAAAUUGCCCACAAAUUCAAACACAGUUGUGUGUACGAUUUCUGGAGGUUUGUGGCUACUCUGAGGUUCAUCCACAAUUCUCAGGGCAAGCUUGGCCUUCCACAUCAGUAGGGAUUCUCUGUUCAUUCUUCUUGGAAAAUAUAGCAUUGAGGAUUUAAAUACACAGUCCAUUUUUCCUUAAUGAGGACCCUAGUACAUCUAUGUGACUUGAUGACAUUGGAUGGCUGAUUGCACCAGAAUUCUGGAGCUGAAGGGGGCCUCUGACAGAGGGAAUAACACAGUCCCUGGG